AAUAGAUACCCGGGUAGUCCACGCCGUAAACGAUGGAUGCUAGCUGUUAUGAGUAUCGACCCUUGUAGUAGCGAAGCUAACGCGUUAAGCAUCCCGCCUGUGGAGUACGAGCGCAAGCUUAAAACAUAAAGGAAUUGACGGGGACCCGCACAAGCGGUGGAGCGUGUUGUUUAAUUCGAUGAUAAGCGAAGAACCUUACCAAGGCUUGACAUCCCUGGAAUUUCUCCGAAAGGAGAGAGUGCCUUCGGGAACCAGGUGACAGGUGAUGCAUGGCCGUCGUCAGCUCGUGUCGUGAGAUGUUUGGUUAAGUCCAUCAACGAGCGCAACCCUUGUAAAUAGUUGAAUUUUUCUAUUUAGACUGCCUCGGUAACGGGGAGGAAGGAGGGGAUGAUGUCAGGUCAGUAUUUCCCUUACGCCUUGGGCUACAAACACGCUACAAUGGCCGGUACAAAGGGCAGCCAACCCGGCGAGGGGGAGCAAAUCCCAUCAAAACCGGUCUCAGUUCGGAUAGCAGGCUGAAAUUCGCCUGCUUGAAGCCGGAAUCGCU
rnacentral:rRNA from 1 species